AUGUGCACUCCCCCUGAGCCUCACCCCCUUUGGGACCUUUUACUCUGCACGCAGCCCUGGAGACCUCUGCCCUCGGGUGACUGCGACAUCCAGAAAUUCCUCUUUGCCCCAGCCCUGGCAAGGACUAAUUGCUACCAUCAGGAAAGCGAGGGCCAGCCUGCGGAGGCCAUGCUACCAGUAUCGGGCACCCAGCUCCUGCUUCUGUACCCUGCUGUCCUCCCAGAGGCUCCCCCACCGUGGGGCUUCUGGGCCACACUCCAAGCAGUGCCCUCUCCUGCAUCACUUUGUCCUGGGCCCCUCUGCUACGCUCCUGAAUUUCCUAAGGGGCAGUUUCAAGUUCACAGGAGAACCGCAAGUGAGACAGGAAGUAGCUUUACCAAGCACCUAGCAAAUGCCAAGUGCCCUGCUAGGUGCCAUCAUAUGGACUGCACUGCCAUUCAGUUGUCACAGCGGCCCAUAAAGGGCUGCUAGAAUCCCUGUUUUGUGUUUCACUCAGCAAAACCCCAGCAGCUCAACCCAAGGAGGCUCCGUUCUCCUUUGGAUUUGCAUCCGCCGUGCCUGUGCGCAGGUUGGACAUUCAGACACCAGGCCACAGGGGCUCUGCCUUCACUAGCGGCCCUGCCUGGUGGCCAUGGGUGGUCACUCGUCACAGUGAGAGAAAACAGUGUGGGCUGACACCCAGACUUGGCGGAAUCGCUGGGGCUCUCCUCUGCCACCUGCAGUACUCCUGUGGCCCCAUGUGACUCACUGCAGGGGCACAGCAGAGUUGGGACAGCAGAUGCACCGUUGAGUGAGCAGCUGUGGCCCCACCAGGUUGUGGAAAUGUACCGCGGAGUAGCUACCCUGCUUUAGAUGAGCGAAUCGGCUUUUUUUGGCCCGCAGAGAACUCUACUGUGGGCUCACACCUUAGCAAUUUGCCUGGGCCUCCAUUUGGCCACUUCUGUGGGUCCCAUCCGUGAAUAUUCUAUGAACGCUUCUUUAGUGUACAGGGUGCUGAUGCUGAGAGGCCAACAGGAUGUUUACAGCCUCAGAGGGGAAGUCAGGCCCACUACAGUAAGCGUCACUUUAAUAAAAUGCAGAUUUUGAUCAAUGGAACAAGA
rnacentral:lncRNA from 1 species